UGUGUUUUUCUUAGGAUUAGGCAGGAAAGUAAUUCAGUGAUCAAAAGUUGAAGCACUGGUAUUAAACAGUCCUGUUGUAUUGUCCCAGCUUUGCUACUUUACUAAUUUGUAAACUUAGGAAGUUGCCAAACUUUAAAGGCUUUAAGCUUCCCAGCUGUGGAAGGAGACUAGCGAUAUCACCCACACCCCAUAGUUUGUGUAAAGCUUAAAGUAGGGAUAUUUAUUUCAGUGCCUGUCGCAGGAUCAGGACUCAGUAAUAUUCUUUGUAAGAAAAACAGAGUAAGAAGGAUACUAAGAAGUCCAAAGGAUAAUAAGUGCUUGGAUGAGGAUGUUAUAUUAAGGCGUUUAAAUCCUGUGUCUAUUUCUGACUAGCCGCCUCAUUUUGGAAGGCAACUUUGAGACACAUCAAUUUCCAAAUCUAUAAAAAUGGAGGAUGCUGGUGUAUAUUUGGGGGAGUUCUGAGGGUUAUACAAGACAGUGCAUAUGCAAGUGUGUCAUAUCCUGAAGUUAAUUAUGGUGUUAUGUUACCGAUGGUGAAUAGAAUUUGCCUGUGACUUACCCCACUUCCAAGCGACUUUCAUUGUAUGAAUCCAGAUGCACUGCUAGUUCCACACUUUUUGGAUCAGACUCAUGAUCCUUAACUCAUUUUUUUAAAAUUAUUUUUAAUAUGUAUUUAUUUAUUUUAAGACAGGGUUUCUCUAUAUAGCCCUGACUGGCUGUCCUGGAACUCACUUUGUAGACUAGGCUGGCCUUGAACUCAGAAAUCUGCCUGCCUCUGCCUCCCAAGUGCUGGGAUUAAAGGAGUGCGCCACCACUGCCUGGCAUCCUUAACUCUUAAGGCAAAACUUGGUGCCUGAAAAUAUUCUUUGCUCAGAAAAUACUCUCAGAGCCCUGUCAUAUCUUUCCACUUCAGUGUGACUUCUGUCAUUACAUACCAUUCCCUCUGUGGGGCUUUUCCUAACCACUAGAUCCACUUUGUUUGUGAUAGAACAGAGUACAUAGAAAUCAAUUGUUCCCUACUUUAGUGUCCCUCAACCAAGAGUUAGUAGCCAUUUUAACAUGGGCUCCUAGAUUUUCCUUUCAAUUUCUCUUGCUAGAAGAUGGCUUGAUGGUUCAUUCAUUACGGCAGCUACCUGAAGCUUAGGUCACAUGCCUACAUCAGCUUCUGUGUAAACACAGCUUACAGUAAAAUUCUGCCUCUGGAGUUUGCUUCUCUGAGAAACCAGAACGAAGACACAUGGCUGCCCCAGUAAAUCAUCUCAGUUACACUUCUGUAGCUGGGACACAAGGAAACUUGCUUCUCAGCUAGUUAUAAGAGAACAACCCAGUCUGGCCUCAGGCUUAAUACUUAGGUUGGAAAGCAUGUGAUGGAGAGAGGCUCCAUGAGUCUUUUCUUGCAAUGAUAUUGAUAUGAAGACUGGUAUAUUUGGCUUAGGAGAGGGUUGUGAAAAUCUCAUUUGACUUUUUUUUUAGAUUCAAAUAACACUGUAAGUUUGGGAUAAGAUGAGUGAGAAGAGACUACCCUCAUAAUUCCUGGCCCCAAAACUGGGGCUUUAGGAUUCUUUGGUAGUGAAGGGAAUGGAGUCCUGACCCUGUAAGUUCUAAGUUCCAAGAGGACUAUUCUAGCCUGAAGACACCUAGACUUCAUAAAUGUCCUUUUAAUUGUUUCCUUAUACUGGAUGCCUUGACUCAUGGUAAUAGAUACUUGGGGGAUAUUCUUUAUGGCUACUCCUGAGCAGAGUUGAGGUCAUAGGCCUAGAUGUCCAAUUCCUAUGAACUUCAAUUGAGCUACUUAUAAAUCAUACAACUAUGACCAGAGGUCAUGAAUGACCUUUAUUGACUCUAUAAAAAUCCUUAUAUUUAACAUAAAAAUUGUGUUCAAGUGCAUUCUUCUGGGUAACAAGUUGUGGUAUUUAAGAUUCUAAUAAACAUAGUCAACAUAUUAUAUUCAUAUUAAUGUCCAAUUAUGGUACUUAGAAUUAGGCAAAGUCAUAUUGUUGUGCAGUGAUUAUAUUAGCUGUAACAUUAGUGUCCCUUGGUCCAGGAUUCACUUUUCAACAAAUCAUGUCUUCUUGGGAAGUAUGAGGAACUGACAUAUCUCAAUUUAAUAUGGGCACCGUAACAAUGUAAUAAAUUGGGGAUUAUAUAUUGAAGUGAUAAAUCAUUGUUUACAUUGGUUGUUUAUUAUGUGGCUGCUGUUACUGGUUUUCAUGCCGACUGUCUUGGAUACCAGUUUAUAGACACAGGUCCUCUGACAUACCAAAGGGAGAAUUAUUUCUCCUUUCCUUUAGUCUUAGCUUUUGUUACUUCAAGAAGAUAGCCUAUUUAGAGGGUAAAAUAAAGACU
rnacentral:lncRNA from 1 species